UACGGAGGGUGCAAGCGUUGUCCGGAAUCACUGGGCGUAAAGGGCGCGUAGGCGGCGCGAUAAGCGUGUGGUGAAAGCCUGGGGCUCAACCCCGGGGUCGACCAUGCGAACUGUCGGGCUCGAGCACUGUAGAGGCAGGCGGAAUUCCGGGUGUAGCGGUGGAAUGCGUAGAGAUCCGGAAGAACACCGGUGGCGAAGGCGGCCUGCUGGGCAGUAGCUGACGGCUGAGGCGCGACAGCGUGGGGAGCAAACAGG
rnacentral:rRNA from 1 species